GCCUUCGUGGUGAAAUGGUAGACACACAAGACUUAAAAUCUUGGGUUUAAAAGACGUACCGGUUCGAGUCCGGUCGAAGGUA
rnacentral:tRNA from 1 species